rnacentral:rRNA from 1 species
AGAGUUUGAUCAUGGCUCAGGAUGAACGCUAGCUACAGGCUUAACACAUGCAAGUCGAGGGGCAGCAUGUUGGUUGCUUGCAACCAACGAUGGCGACCGGCGCACGGGUGAGUAACGCGUAUCCAACCUACCCUUGUCCAUCGGAUAACCCGUCGAAAGGCGGCCUAACACGAUAUGCGGUUCACAGCAGGCAUCUAACGUGAACGAAAUGUGAAGGAGAAGGAUGGGGAUGCGUCUGAUUAGCUUGUUGGCGGGGUAACGGCCCACCAAGGCUACGAUCAGUAGGGGUUCUGAGAGGAGGUCCCCCACAUUGGAACUGAGACACGGUCCCAAACGUCCUACGGGAGGCA